rnacentral:rRNA from 1 species
GACGAACGCUGGCGGCGUGCCUAAUACAUGCAAGUCGAACGCAUUUUCUUUCACCGUAGCUUGCUACACCGAAAGAAAAUGAGUGGCGAACGGGUGAGUAACACGUGGGUAACCUGCCCAUCAGCGGGGGAUAACACUUGGAAACAGGUGCUAAUACCGCAUAAUUCCAUUUACCGCAUGGUAGAUGGAUGAAAGGCGCUUYUGCGUCACUGAUGGAUGGACCCGCGGUGCAUUAGCUAGUUGGUGGGGUAACGGCCUACCAAGGYUGCGAUGCAUAGCCGACCUGAGAGGGUGAUCGGCCACACUGGGACUGAGACACGGCCCAGACUCCUACGGGAGGCAGCAGUAGGGAAUCUUCGGCAAUGGACGCAAGUCUGACCGAGCAACGCCGCGUGAGUGAAGAAGGUUUUCGGAUCGUAAAACUCUGUUGUUAGAGAA